rnacentral:rRNA from 1 species
GACAGAGGGUGCAAACGUUGUUCGGAAUUACUGGGCGUAAAGCGCGCGUAGGCGGCUUGGCAAGUCGGAUGUGAAAUCCCUCGGCUCAACCAAGGAAGUGCAUCCGAAACUGCCGAGCUUGAGUACUUAAGAGGAUCGCGGAAUUCCCAGUGUAGAGGUGAAAUUCGUAGAUAUUGGGAAGAACACCAGUGGCGAAGGCGGCUCACUGGCCCGUAACUGACGCUGAGGUGCGAAAGCGUGGGAGCAACAGG